GAUGAACGCUGGCGGCGUGCCUAAUACAUGCAAGUCGAGCGAACAGAUGAGGAGCUUGCUCCUCUGACGUUAGCGGCGGACGGGUGAGUAACACGUGGAUAACCUACCUAUAAGACUGGGAUAACUUCGGGAAACCGGAGCUAAUACCGGAUAAUAUAUUGAACCGCAUGGUUCAAUAGUGAAAGACGGUUUUGCUGUCACUUAUAGAUGGAUCCGCGCCGCAUUAGCUAGUUGGUAAGGUAACGGCUUACCAAGGCAACGAUGCGUAGCCGACCUCAGAGGGUGAUCGGCCACACUGGAACUGAGACACGGUCCAGACUCCUACGGGAGGCAGCAGUAGGGAAUCUUCCGCAAUGGGCGAAAGCCUGACGGAGCAACGCCGCGUGAGUGAUGAAGGUCUUCGGAUCGUAAAACUCUGUUAUUAGGGAAGAACAAAUGUGUAAGUAACUAUGCACGUCUUGACGGUACCUAAUCAGAAAGCCACGGCUAACUACGUG
rnacentral:rRNA from 1 species